rnacentral:rRNA from 1 species
GAUGAACGCUGGCGGCGUGCCUAAUACAUGCAAGUCGAGCGAACGGACGAGAAGCUUGCUUCUUUGAUGUUAGCGGCGGACGGGUGAGUAACACGUGGAUAACCCACCUAUCAGACUGGGAUAACUUCGGGAAACCGGAGAUAAUACCGGAUAAUAUUUUGAACCGCAUGGUUGAAAAGUGAAAGACGGUCUUGCUGUCACUUCUAGAUGGAUCCGCGCUGCAUUAGCUAGUUGGUAAGGUAACGGCUUACCAAGGCAACGAUGCAUAGCCGACCUGAGAGGGUGAUCGGCCACACUGGAACUGAGACACGGUCCAGACUCCUACGGGAGGCAGCAGUAGGGAAUCGUCCGCAGUGGGCGAAAGCCUGGCGGAGCAACGCCGCGUGAGUGAUGAAGGUCUUCGGAUCGUGAAACUCUGUUAUUAGGGAAGAACAUAUGUGUAAGUAACUGUGCACAUCUUGACGGUACCUAAUCAGAAAGCCACGGCUAACUACGUG